UUUGCCAAAUAUUCCGUUCAAGUUCCUCGCUGGAUGUCCGGCUCGUCCGUCGAUGUUCAAUAGAUGCAACAAGUGCCAGUCCACUUUUUCUCAGCUGCACCUUCUCAGUCCAGCAGCAGCACCAGGUGAAUGUAUAGGUACACAACUUCCAAGUGAAUUAAGACGCACAAGUGUGUAGUGCUACUGAAGACUAACGAGACCAGACAACAACAUGGCGGUGGAAUUGCCAGGUCAGAGCGAGAGCUCGGGCUGAGCGAGGCAAGGCUAUUUAUUAUUCGCACAAGUGCAAUUCUGAUUUUCAGGCAUGGAGAGAAGAAAUGCGCAGGAUGCAGCCAAGAGUCAUUUUACUAAAGGCACAGGGGUAAAAAGAUCGAAAGAUGGAAGCUUAAAGUGUUAUUAUAUUUGUAACUGAUCGGGUGCUUUUAUAGAGAGGACACAUCAAAGGAAAUAAGGUCCAUCAAAUCACAAGGUUCCGUCAGGCGUGGGGACACCUGCCUUGCUGAUAUGUCUGCAAUGUUCCAAACUGGCAAGGUCUCGUUUGUCUUCCAAUCUUCCUAUUAUGCACAUGAUUUUGGGGCUGUCCCACACCCCACUGACAAAAACAGAGGAAGAUGCAAUAGAGGCGGCCCGUGCAGGCACUUGUAAAACACUAUGUUGUACUGGAAUGUCCUUUUUUUACCUUCAAGAAACUAUUUGUUUAUGUUAGGGAAACUAUGUGACGGCAUUGCACUCAGCGUACUAUGCAGCUCAGUAUUCGGGGUGUGCUGGAUGGCACGUUUCAAAGGAUCCAAUUCACCUCACUACAAGGCAGUACUUGUACACCACCAUGAGGGACUAUAAUAUAUGUUACGGUGAGAGGAAACACGACGACAAUCAAAACAGUGUUGCCCUGUUCAGUUCUAUCAGAGCCCAAACAAACAGUCCAGUGCUUUCCCUCACACACACAGGCAAGAAGGAUGAUCCUACUGUCUUUCAACGAGGGAAUACUGACUUGUUGCAAGAUGAGGAUUUCUUGCUAGUUCUCAUGACAGGCAUGCAAAAACAGCUGUUAAGGCAUUUGGGCACCAACAAAAGUGUGAUGA